rnacentral:rRNA from 1 species
AUUGAACGCUGGCGGCAGGCCUAACACAUGCAAGUCGAACGGUAACAGGAAGCAGCUUGCUGCUUUGCUGACGAGUGGCGGACGGGUGAGUAAUGUCUGGGAAACUGCCUGAUGGAGGGGGAUAACUACUGGAAACGGUAGCUAAUACCGCAUAACGUCGCAAGACCAAAGAGGGGGACCUUAGGGCCUCUUGCCAUCGGAUGUGCCCAGAUGGGAUUAGCUAGUAGGUGGGGUAACGGCUCACCUAGGCGACGAUCCCUAGCUGGUCUGAGAGGAUGACCAGCCACACUGGAACUGAGACACGGUCCAGACUCCUACGGGAGGCAGCAGUGGGGAAUAUUGCACAAUGGGCGCAAGCCUGAUGCAGCCAUGCCGCGUGUAUGAAGAAGGCCUUCGGGUUGUAAAGUACUUUCAGCGGGGAGGAAGGGAGUAAAGUUAAUACCUUUGCUCACUGACGUUACCCGCAGAAGAAGCACCGGCUAACUCCGUG